AAUGAUUGAGACUGGCCGGGAGACAUCAAGAGGUAUUAAUGUGUAUUUUGCAAGGAAGGUGCAGGAGCUGGGGCCUUACCUGCAGUUGCUGAUGGAUUUCUUAGUGAGAAAAAUGGGCUUGGUACAACACACUGAUACAAAAAUACUAAAUCACCAGAAGAAGGUGACUACACAGCAAGAACAGCAGCAAAAGGAAAGGCACCAAGUGUAAAGGAAGAAUAUUUGAAGCAGAACAGAAAUAAUUUCUGAGCAAGAAGGGCUAUGUGAUGAUGCUUCAUUCAG
rnacentral:lncRNA from 1 species